UGAGGACAUAAGAAAGGACCAGCACAGAGAAGACAACUAACUUCGGCACGCUUUGCUCGAAGGGCUCUUAGGAAAGAAUUCUGAGUUUUAAAAACAGGAGUGGGAGGGUGAGAUAGUCCUGAUGAUUAAAAACUAACGCAACCGCAGUAAGUCACUUUGGCACACUGUGUCAUGUAAACAUAGCUCACCGCAAAGGACCCCUCCCCGGCCCACCCCUGCUCUUGACGCCCGGACCAUCCAAAGCCGCCUCCCAGCUCAGGGACAGGACGCCGCCCCCAGGGCAUGGGCCGCACAAGGGUCUGGGUAGACACGUGGGAUGAUAGGAAGGCUGAGAGGGCCUAGGGGUGCGGGCGGGGUAAAGGUGAAGGGGCAAAGGAUUCGUCAGAAAACGUGAUUUUAAAACGAGCCAGAUUCAUCCAUUUCCCUCCUUACAGUAGUAGCAGCUCGCAGGGGUGACGAGGAACAUUCCUGAGCACCCAGGUAGAAGCCAGGCACCUCUCCCCGUUAUGACUUUCAGUUCAUAACUGUCUGUGGUUUAACAGGACCCCAAGGCUCCUGUCUCCCGCCCUGAAUCCUCAGUGUAAAUGAGCAGGUAUUGUUUGGUUCUGACCCUUCCUAAUUCUUUCCCCAAAGCCCCCUGAAGCAGUCAUCUUGGCCAGGCGGGGUGUGGGAGGGAGCUGCGGGCGGGGCAGGACUCGCUGCCUGGCUGGAGCUCCCCAGGCCAGCAGGUGUGCAGGACUGUGAGCCAGGCCUGUGCCCUGGCUGACGGGCUCAUCCCUGACACUGCUGGCCAUUAAUUCUGAAGGCCCAGCGUGCAGGGCUCAGAUCACAAUGAAGCCAAUACUAGCGUGUGACAGCUGCCUGGCAUCAUUGGUCUGCCCUGUCGCCAGGGGGCAGCGGUAUUGCUGGCUCACACAGAGCUAUGGGGUAUGUCUUAUAUUCCUUAGAGAAAAGAAAUUUAAUGUAAAAAGACCCAAAGUGAUAUCUGUCAAAAUAAGUAACCGCUCCAGGUUCACAGAUACGCACAGCACGCAAGGUGGAUUCUGACGCACAGUAGGGACUCUCAGGCUGACGCCCAACAGGGAUGCCGGGGCCGAG
rnacentral:lncRNA from 1 species